rnacentral:rRNA from 1 species
UGGGGAAUUUUGGACAAUGGGCGAAAGCCUGAUCCAGCAAUGCCGCGUGUGUGAAGAAGGCCUUCGGGUUGUAAAGCACUUUUGUCCGGAAAGAAAUCCUUGGCUCUAAUACAGUCGGGGGAUGACGGUACCGGAAGAAUAAGCACCGGCUAACUACGUGCCAGCAGCCGCGGUAAUACGUAGGGUGCAAGCGUUAAUCGGAAUUACUGGGCGUAAAGCGUGCGCAGGCGGUUUGCUAAGACCGAUGUGAAAUCCCCGGGCUCAACCUGGGAACUGCAUUGGUGACUGGCAGGCUAGAGUAUGGCAGAGGAGGGUAGAAUUCCACGUGUAGCAGUGAAAUGCGUAGAGAUGUGGAGGAAUACCGAUGGCGAAGGCAGCCCCCUGGGCCAAUACUGACGCUCAUGCACGAAAGCGUGGGGAGCAAACAGGAUUAGAUACCCUGGUAGUCCACGCCCUAAACGAUGUCAACUAGUUGUUGGGGAUUCAUUUCCUUAGCAACGUAGCUAACGCGUGAAGUUGACCGCCUGGGGAGUACGGUCGCAAGAUUAAAACUCAAAUGAAUUGACGGGGUCAUAGCUGUUUCCU